AUGCUCGCUUCCUUUGGCAGCACAUAUACUAAAAUUGGAAUGAUACAGAGGAAAUUAGCAUGGCCCCUAAGCAAGGAUGACACAUAAAUUUGUGAUGUGAUCCAUAUUUAA
rnacentral:snRNA from 1 species